GAAACGUAAAAAUAGUCCAAAUUAGACGUGAGAAUGAGAUGAUUUUGAACAAUUUUCGACUCUAAAUUGAUUUCAUUGUUAUAAAAAUAUACAAAGAAUCGUAGUUAAAAUGUCUGCAGAAAAUUCACCAGUUAAGCCUUCAAGAUCGCCUAGUGUAAUAGAAACGUUAGAAGACUACGAGUCUCAGGACACAUUGAUAAAACACGUUGAUAUAUCAAUAGUGGAGUCAGAGAAGCGUGCUAAUGGAACUUUACACGUGAGGGACCACUACACUGUAUAUCUAAUAGACCUGAAAGUAACAGAUCCAGACUACAAACUAGUACAAUCCAAAAUCAGUACCAUCUGGAGGAGAUACACGGAGUUUGAACAGAUACAUGACUAUCUUUUAGUGACCUAUCCACACUGUGUGGUGCCGCCACUGCCAGAGAAAAGGGUUCUUUACGCCUGGCGGAAAUCUGACACCACAGACCCAGAGUUCGUGGAGCGGCGGCGGGCAGGGUUGGAGAACUUCCUCCUCCGCGUGGCCUCACAUCCUCGGCUCAGCUUCGAUGACCAGUUCAUCAGCUUCUUGCAGCAGGAGCACUGGCGGGAGACCAUCACUGAUAGUGGAUACCUAUUACAAGCGGAGAACAAGCUGAAAUCUCUGUCAGUGUCAAUCAGACUUAAGAAGCCGGAUCCGGAAAUAGAAACUGUCAAAAACUAUGGAAAGCAGUUGGAAACUAACUUAGGAAAUUUUCUUUAUACUAGGUCUAAAAUAAUCGAGAAAAACUACGCAUUAUGUAAGCUGCACGCGGCCUACGGCAAACUGUUCAGCGAAUGGAGCGUCGUCGAGAAAGACAUGGGCGACGGGCUGCAGAAGGCCGGACACUAUUUCGAUUCAAUAGCAGAAGGCAUCGACGCGGUCGCCGAAGACGAAGAGCAACUGGCCGACCAACUAAAAGAAUACUUGUUCUACGCGUGCGCCCUCCAGCAACUCGCGCACAACCACGAGGCUCUGCAGCGAGCCACGGAGCUCGCACACGACACACUUGCUAACCGGAUAGCUGAGCGCAACCGCGCCGCGGCGGGCAAGUCGGGGCUGAUGUCGCGGCUGUUCGGCGGCACCGACCCCGACAUCGUGCGCGACCACGCCACCAGGGCGCUCGACGCCAAGAUACUGCAGGACAAGGAGAACAUCGAGAAGGCCAAGCGGGACCUGGAGUAAGUACUAGUCGGGGCUGAUGUCGCGGCUGUUCGGCGGCACCGACCCCGACAUCGUGCGCGACCACGCCACCAGGGCGCUCGACGCCAAGAUACUGCAGGACAAGGAGAACAUCGAGAAGGCCAAGCGGGACCUGGAGUAAGUACUAGUCGGGGCUGAUGUCGCGGCUGUUCGGCGGCACCGACCCCGACAUCGUGCGCGACCACGCCACCAGGGCGCUCGACGCCAAGAUACUGCAGGACAAGGAGAACAUCGAGAAGGCCAAGCGGGACCUGGAGUAAGUACUAGUCGGGGCUGAUGUCGCGGCUGUUCGGCGGCACCGACCCCGACAUCGUGCGCGACCACGCCACCAGGGCGCUCGACGCCAAGAUACUGCAGGACAAGGAGAACAUCGAGAAGGCCAAGCGGGACCUGGAGUAAGUACUAGUCGGGGCUGAUGUCGCGGCUGUUCGGCGGCACCGACCCCGACAUCGUGCGCGACCACGCCACCAGGGCGCUCGACGCCAAGAUACUGCAGGACAAGGAGAACAUCGAGAAGGCCAAGCGGGACCUGGAGUAAGUACUAGUCGGGGCUGAUGUCGCGGCUGUUCGGCGGCACCGACCCCGACAUCGUGCGCGACCACGCCACCAGGGCGCUCGACGCCAAGAUACUGCAGGACAAGGAGAACAUCGAGAAGGCCAAGCGGGACCUGGAGUAAGUACUAGUCGGGGCUGAUGUCGCGGCUGUUCGGCGGCACCGACCCCGACAUCGUGCGCGACCACGCCACCAGGGCGCUCGACGCCAAGAUACUGCAGGACAAGGAGAACAUCGAGAAGGCCAAGCGGGACCUGGAGUAAGUACUAGUCGGGGCUGAUGUCGCGGCUGUUCGGCGGCACCGACCCCGACAUCGUGCGCGACCACGCCACCAGGGCGCUCGACGCCAAGAUACUGCAGGACAAGGAGAACAUCGAGAAGGCCAAGCGGGACCUGGAGUAAGUACUAGUCGGGGCUGAUGUCGCGGCUGUUCGGCGGCACCGACCCCGACAUCGUGCGCGACCACGCCACCAGGGCGCUCGACGCCAAGAUACUGCAGGACAAGGAGAACAUCGAGAAGGCCAAGCGGGACCUGGAGUAAGUACUAGUCGGGGCUGAUGUCGCGGCUGUUCGGCGGCACCGACCCCGACAUCGUGCGCGACCACGCCACCAGGGCGCUCGACGCCAAGAUACUGCAGGACAAGGAGAACAUCGAGAAGGCCAAGCGGGACCUGGAAGAGUUUUCAAAGAAGGCUGCUAUAGAAAUAGAACAUUUCCAAAAGCAAAAAGACAAAGACCUCCACGAGUCGCUGGUCGGGUUCAUAUCAUUGCAAGUUAAAGCCGCGAAAAAGAAUCUUCAAGCGUGGACCCAAAUAAAGGAAUGCCUACAGAACAUGCCCUGAACGCGGCCCGCCCGCGGGCGACCAACAAAUUGUACAGGUUAUCCAACACUAGGCGUUGAUUCAUUUGAGUUAAGGCGAUGGAGGCGUUACCAAAGAACCGGAAUGUGUAAAUGGUAAAAUUGGUAGUCAUAUUUUAAGGUGCUUACCAAAUGUUUGAAGCAGUUUUCUUAGUAAUAUCUGCAACUAAUGAUAAAGUACUUGAUGGUGACUAAAUGACCAUUUCUAGCGUACGAACAGGUGGUGGCAUUAUUAGGCAGAGAACAAUGGAGUCGCCUUGAUAUAUUUUAUAAUUGAAUGAAUAACGAUUAAUAAUUGAUUUCUCUUAAAUAUAAACUUCUUAUAAGUAGUGCCAAAGUGUUUGAAAUGUAAAUAAUAAAUUAAUUUUCUCAUUAUUUCCCAAUUUGAUUAGGCCUAAAGCAGACCAACGUUAUUAUACUACAAAUAAACAACACCAAAUUAUAUUGUCGUAUCUAUAAUUUAAGAAAAUUUAGGCCAGUAAUGAAAGUUGUAUGUAUAUGGUUAGGAAGUAUAUCGAUUAAGUGUGAGAAUUAUAAAGGAAAUAGGACAGCAUAUGUAACAUAACAUUUCCGACGUAGGAACCUAGUAUUUAAUUUUAUAAUUAAUUUCAUAUACAAUUUGAAUUUAGUCAUUAAUAAUAUUUUUUUAGAUAAUAACGACUCCAUUUCUCUCUCUCUCACACACACACACACACACACACACAGCUUAGAUAGUCACCACAAGUCCGUACGCUAGUCAUGUCACAUGAAUUGCGAUGUCACAAACGGUCAAAAAGUGUCGAAUUUUGAACGUGAUUUUUUUAUCUUUGUAUUACUUAAUAAGUAUCACAAACGAUUAGAAAUUUUGUCACGAGACGUAUUUCAGUUUGAUGCUUUUUGAUUUGUGAAUCUUAAAUCAUUGUACAACAGUCCAGAGUAAAAAUAUCAAUGGAACCAAUUUAUCAGAAACCUAUUUAAAACCUUACUGAUAUGGCAAUAAGGUCCUGUAUAAAAUCUCGCAUCUAUAUUUUUACCCACAACUCAUGCUAAACUGUGAUUUUUAAGCGCGGUAGGAAAUAUAGGAAUGAAAUUUAUAACUAUUCGUUUAUUUUUAUUAAAUUUUGAAACUGAAAUAUUAGACUCCAUCAAUUAGAUGAUUUAUUUCAUACUCUAAAAUUAAAAAUGUUCGUUCUCAGUUAUGUUAUGCCCGAAACUACAUAAAAAAAAUAGUUGUAAAUAAAUAUACAAAUAGAUAUACGUUAUAAUGAAUAACCUUUUCCUCGUAGUUGUGUGAGUACAUAUCUGCCGUCGCUUCACUGCCUUGUUGGAUGCAAUAACUCUAGCCUUGAUAGUAUUAAUGAAUACAUUAUUGAUUCUACGCUUCGUACAUCAAUAUUUAAUAAAGGCCCGAUCCACGGCCGAACUCAUUAUAGAUUUUCAAGUGCAAAUAUCUAAAGGUCCAUCCAGAUCUGACGAAUGCGUCCCGAAUGUGCCGCGCAUUUGAGUGCAAAAUGUACUUAAGAAGACAGUCUGGCAAACAAGUUUUGGCAGUACAUCCCUCUUUUUGGGGUUAUCACAAGCCCCGUUUUGUCCCCUAAUAGUUUUUACCGCGUCUUUCUGUCUGUAUGUUCCAGAUAAACUCAAAAACUGCUGAACGGAUUUUCAUCCGGUUUUCACCUAUCAAUAGAGUGGUUCUUAAGGAAGGUUUAGGUGUAUAAUUUGUUAACCCGUGCGAAGUCUACAUACAUAUGGUCAGGUGAGAAGCAAAAUUCAGCAAUUGCAAAAAAAGAUUAAACAUUGGUCAACAUUGUUUAAUUACUAGUAACGUUCACUAUGACUCUGAAGUUGUGGUAGUAAUUAGUGAGGUUUGGUUGUCACCUGACGAUAUAUAAGAGAAGGACAGUACCUAUUCCUCUGCCUACGGUUCACUGACAGAACCAAUCUUGCCAAACUAUAGCAAUCCUUUAUUGCGCAAAUUGUUCGCGAAUGGUAGGCUAAAAGCAUUUUCCAGACCUGGACGCACCUUAACCAGAGAAAAGUAAGGUCAUUUCUGAAAUAAAAUUAUCUGAAAUCAGAAUCUAAUAAAACUUUGAAAUGUAAUUUCUGAAUUCCUAAUUUCAUCAAAAUAGUCUUUAUUUUUAAAGUCGUAACGUCGACAAGCGCAUGCAAAGAUUGACAACGAAGUGUUCCAAAUGGGUUUCAAAGGAACAAUAGUUUUCAGUGAUUGCUAUACAUGCUUUGUAAAAAAAAAAAGAUUUUCAAGUAUUCUAAUGCCUCUAAAACCCUCUAUUUCCGAAAAUAGAAACUUUCAUAGAGCUUUAGUAUAUGUACCUAUAUGGUGAUAGGCAAGGCUAAUGAAUAAUCAAGACCUGAGUACACUUGAUGAGAUUUAUUGCUUUUAGCUUUCAGGACCUGGAAAGGUGGAUAGUGCUUAAAUUUUAGUAUGCUUGUGAGAAAUCUCAGGAAUAACGUAAAAAAAGUGAACGCUCAGUGAAAAUACUAUGAUAUUAAAUGCCGUUUUCUUAACUCGAAUGAACAGUAGUUUUUAUAUCUCACUUUGUAAGAGAAAUUUAGAUCCAAUGCUAGUUUUACUGUAUGUCACAUUUAUUUUUAAAUUUAGUUCAAUUUUGUUGUAAGCGAGUUGUAUAAUGUUCGAAUGAUAAUAUGUUAACGAGGCUGACUCGGGAGCCUAGCCAACAUGACAAUCCUAGCCUAGCCAACACAUUUUUAUAUUCCUUCAAAUAUAAAAAUGUGCAUGAUUGAUGGUACGAAUAGUUACACGACUACUUCCAUACAUUACUCAAAUUUCGAUUGUCAUUUUCUAUCAACAAUUGUCAUCUUGGCUAGGCGCCCUGACAAUUUUUAAUGUAUUUUACAUCAAGCGUACCUACAAUUUGAACCUAGGUGAUGAUAUUCCAUAAAUCAUGCAAUAUUCCCUAAACCAUCUUACACAAUUGAUAUAAAAAUAUAAAGUAUUGUUUGGUUGCGGUUUUCGUAAUUAAAGAUCAUUACCUUAUUCCAGUAAAAUACCUCUUUAAAACAUGCUCAUUGUCAGCUGGUAUGUUUAAUAGAAAAAGACUAGAUAUUUUGGUGAUUAUUAUAUUAUUUCUUAAUUAAGUAGAAAUUGCAAAAUUUAUUAAGUAUAUAAGUACUGGGCAGUGAUUAACAAUAUUACUGUCCUUUUAUAUAUGUUUAUAGAUAUUUAAUUUAAAAUCGUAUCUCUGAAUUCCUGUUUAAUUAAAAAGUAGGCACCACUUUAAGAGUUUCGAAUCAAAACUACUUAAUAAUUUUAUUUAGUGUCGUUGGAAAUUGGUUAAAUACUCAACUACUGUGGUUUAAAGACUAGCUAAAAAGCAGCAAGUUUUAUAUGUGUGAUUUAUUAGUACAUUACGAUACAAGUGCGAAAAAUAAAAAAAUUGUAACGAGUGGCGAUAAAUUAAACACGACCGAAGGGAGUGUUUUAAAAUCGACACGAGUUGCGAAUUACCUAUCCGCACAUAUAUCGUACAACAUUUUAUAGUACAUAUGGGCCAUUAAAUUAUCGACAUGUUACGUAAUGUGCUAAUUAUCGCACUAGUGCGGUAAAGUAGCAUCAUAUGUACUGUAAAAAUAGUUACUGGCUACCAAAUAGCGCAAUAUGUAACAUGCAGCUAAUUGAAUUAUCAUAUUAAACAGACUGAUUAGCUCUUUCACCGCAAAAGACGUCAACUGACGGGCACGGCUAGCCCAAUAUCAACCUCCGUGCAUUGCGACAAGGUUCACGAAGACGCGCCGCACAUGAUAGGCGUGGCGUUCAAAGAGUUAAACAGCAUUAUUACUGUUCGCGAAUUAAGUCCGAGGGAUCGCAGGGUGGAGUACACCCUUCCGCUUCCUCAUCUCGACAGUCCUUAAACUUCGUGCAUGAAUAAAAAAUAUUUUCAAACAUCCAGCAGGGCUAAGAUGGACGGCUGUCUAUCAUUUGUCACCAUACCUGUCACGUUCUAACAAAUACGUAAGUGACGCAUGGAAUGAAAAAGAGCCGACCAUCUUAGCCCCACUGACAGACUUUCAUUAAUUUAAAUAACAAAAUAAAAGAUUUUUUGGUAUUAUUUACAAUAUUGUUGGCUAGCUAUAUUUUUACAUUUAGAAUGGCCUGUUUAAUCCAGCCUUGUCGUAGAAGACUUCAGAAAAAUAAGCACCUAAUCAUUAUUAACAGAACAAAACAAAUUUAACAUUACAUAUAUCUCCAUCCUAUCCUACUAUACCAAUCAGAGAUUUUGAUAUAAUUGUCGCAACUUAUUAGUCUUGCGACAACUUAUGCUAGCCCUUAUAAAAUAGAUGCGCUAAUAUAUUUUUGUUGAUUACAUUGUUUUCUUUAUUGCAAAGGUUUUUAUUUCUUAUUGUAAAUCUUUAUUGCUAAUGUCAAGAAAGUAUACAAUAAACAGAUUUUACAUA